rnacentral:misc_RNA from 1 species
CAACUUGGCAAGUACUUACCUUAGGUCAUAUUGAGACCAAGGUUGAUUUGUACUACUAGAAUUUGUACAGCAAGACUAAAUUGCUUAUCACUCUAUUGUCUCGGGCCGAAGGGAGAGCUAGAACGGACAGCACUGCGAUGAUCAGGUGUCCCUACUCGGUCUGAUUGACCUGAUCCUGGCUUUGGUUUGUUCAUAAAGUUACCAAGUGAUCUCCAACUCUUCUCUGAAUUUGUAUCUGCAUCCACAAGUCCAUCAACAUACUUUGUCGAACCAAUUUUCUCAAACUGCACUCUUUGCCUGGGUGCACUAUGCGACCUAAGUUUCGCAAGGUAUGAUUCUGUAUUAGACAUAUAGUUGGGGUGACCUAGGUAGUCCCCAAACAAGCUUCGUGAGCAAUCACUUCUCGAAGGAGAGGGACCUCUUCUACUGCUACUCCCUGGUCUGGACAACGUGGAAUGAACUCCAGGGCUGCGCUCAACAGUCCAAGCAGCUGGCUGAUCAGUAUCUUGACAAAAUGUCAGUGACCUCAAAGAUGACACUUCCCCUGAAGAUAUACUAGGAUUUGGUUUCAUAUGGUUCCCCAAAAGUUUCGACAUAGAGUUGACAGUUCUUGUUCCGUGAGCAUUAUCGUUCCAAGAUGAAUAACGUGAAUUGUGAGACUUUUUCUCACUUGGUUUGGGGUGCAAACUUGGUUUCCAUGUGUCUAUCUCAAGUAUCUUGUCAGUGCUCUCAUCAUGAUCUCCACCAUUUUUUUUCAGGGAAGUAUCUCCGUAGCCAUUUUUUGCACAUUCCUCCAUCCAGUGAUGUAUAUACUGUGAAGCCAAAUGUGACCUAUCCUGACCAAAGCUCUCAUGCAGUUUCAAUUUGGAACCAGAUUUCUUCAGGUUUGGCCCAUGAUAUUUACAAUUGAAUGAAUACUGCUGUGGAUCAUAUUUUCUCGGAGUUGCAAUGCCAGGAUGCUCAAAUCGUGAAGCUCUGAUGCUGGAAUGAGAGGGAUCUGAAGUUACAUUCCGGUUGGCAGAAGCUCGAGCCUGAAUUCGAGCCAUGGCUUGCAUACGUCGGAGCAUAUCUGCACUUUGUUUCCUCACUAUACGACCUCUGACUAGUGCUUGCAGCUUCACUAAUCCCUUUAGUGCCCUCAGUGCCCUUCUAGCCAGGUAAGCACGAAAUUCUGACUGAAUUUUAACGGCAGCCCAUUCACGGCGGCGUUCGGUGUUACUACUUCCAUAAGCCGAAG